UAGAAAGGGGAGAUAAUAUGUGCAUCAAACAAGCUUUUAAACAACUCCCUGUAUGGUACCAGAAUUGGUGUGUACUGAGGCUUUUCCGUGUUCUGUCUUGUGCCAGAUUCCUGUCUUGAUGAACCUUGUUGAUUAGUAGCCACCUUUCCUAGUUGGUUCACCGUGAUCGAUUUCGAGUAACCCUUAUUAUAGGUGUUCAUGUUGUUCACCUCAUUCUCCUUUUUCCUUGGAACCGUCCUUCGGUUACCUUCUCCAGC
rnacentral:lncRNA from 1 species